CAAUAGGGUGGGCCGUGGUGGGGAUCCUUCGGGGUCGCCGGCUUUAUCUUUUGGACCGGUUCGUCAACCCGUCACGGUCUGCCACCAGU
rnacentral:antisense_RNA from 1 species